AGCGUUGUUCGGAAUUACUGGGCGUAAAGCGCACGCAGGCGGAUCAGUCAGUUAGGGGUGAAAUCCCAGGGCUCAACCCUGGAACUGCCUUUAAUACUGCUGAUCUAGAGUUCGAGAGAGGUGAGUGGAAUUCCGAGUGUAG
rnacentral:rRNA from 1 species